rnacentral:rRNA from 1 species
UGGCGGACGGGUGAGUAACGCGUGGGUAACCUGCCUCACACUGGGGGACAACAGUUAGAAAUGACUGCUAAUACCGCAUAAGCGCACAGGACCGCAUGGUCCGGUGUGAAAAACUCCGGUGGUGUGAGAUGGACCCGCGUUUGAUUAACUAGUUGGUGGGGUAACGGCCUACCAAGGCGACGAUCAAUAGCCGACCUGAGAGGGUGACCGGCCACAUUGGGACUGAGACACGGCCCAA